rnacentral:lncRNA from 1 species
GCGACACCAGCACUUUCAGAGGAGAAAACUGAAGAAUCAGUUAAGGCAGAAGAGACUCCUGUGGAAGAGGUGGCGGCCGCACCACCUACACCAGAGCCUGUUGCUGAGGAGCCAAAGGAAGCAGAAACUGCAGCUGUGCCCGAGGAAUCUGCGGCUCCAGAAGCUGAAGCCCCUGCUGAUCAGGAUGAGACCAAGGAGGUGGUAGAACAAGUUGAGGUUGAGACCAAGGAGGUGGUGGAAAAAACUGAUCAGGCUGUGGUGGAAGAACCAGCGGUAGAGAAGACAGAAGAGGUCCCAGAGGAGACUCCUGAUCAGGAAACAAACAGCCCAGUUGUGGAGGAAACCAAAGAAGCUACAGAACCAGCUGAGGAACCAGCACCAAAACCAGAACCAGCACCUGCAGAUGAAGCUCCAAAAGAAGAAGGUCCUGCUGCAGAAGAAGAAGAGAAACCAGCUGAAGCUAAAGUGAAAGUUGAGACAGAUGAGAAGGCUGAGUGAUGAGUCUAUGAGUGUAUGGCCGAGUGAAAUUAAAAGUUUGUGUGAUGAGGGGUCUGCUAGGUUGCAUGUCUAGUUAAAGGAGUAUUAAUUUUCUUAGUAUAAUGAGGAAGGUUGAGGUGGAUGGAGCUUGAAAUCAAGGUAUGGGGAUGACCCACAUUGAU